rnacentral:lncRNA from 1 species
GGCCAAAAACGCUCCAAGCUUUUGAAGGUUUGGUUUUCUAUGGAAUACCUAAGUCGGGUACCACGAAAGCGCUUAUAUAAGGACUUGAUAGAGGCAAUGUUGCCGGUACCAUUGUAUCGCUCGAUGUUCCGCAUUGAACCGGAAAAGAACGUGCUAAAGAGAGUAAAACGAAUGCCAGUACGUCCAUCCGGCGAAGUCCUUCUUUUUUCAGCUCCACACCAAUACUUUACCUGUUAAACCAUGGCUUGAGGAGAAAUGACUUUUUGUGCCUUGGAGCGUCAACUGUUUAAUAUGCGGGAAACCCGAAACAGUUGAACACAUCUUUCUCGACUGUUGGGAUGCGGUAUUCCACUGGGAUGUCUUACAGAGAACCUUAAAGAAGGACUUACCGAUUACGCCAUACGGGAUUCGUUUCUUGCCUACUCUAAAUGAAGACACUGUACCAUAUGACAUGUUCAUGCUGUUGUCCUUGCAUAGUUUAUGGAAAUGUAGAAUGGCCGUGAGACAUGCCGAACCAAACCUCCGGCCUGUUAGAGAGUACUUCAUCGAAAGCAUUUGUUAUAUUAAAGAAUUGUACAGUUU